CGGCUAGCUCAGUCGGUAGAGCAUGAG
rnacentral:piRNA from 13 species